AUUUCUGCAUCACUAUCCUCCAUCACCACCAGGUAGAGUUCAUCCUGCUGAAAAGGCCUGGGCCUUCCUUUCUUUGUAAAUCCUCUGCAAACAACCACUUGUGACUGGGGUCCAAGAUGCUAUAGGUACAGCAGUCCUGCUUAUCUGCUGUUUCUCUUUCGUGGUUUCAGUUACUCACCUUCAACUGAGGUAUGGAAGCAGAUGAUCCUCCCUCGGUGAAUUGUCAGAAGGUCCAUAGCAGCCUACCUAGGUCACAAGGUCUGGGUCAUUCACCUGACUUUGUCUCAUCCUAUAGGCAUUUUAUCAUCUCACAUCAUCACCAGAAGGGUGCAGAGGUGGGUCGAUGUCCACAAGACUAAAACCAGCAGCUGUCCAGGUUCUUGGCCUUUCGUUACAGAUGGUUCCUCAAUGAGGUUCAAGCUGCCUUAUGCCUGGGCCACAGCUGGCACCCCCUGUCACUCGUUGCCCUUGUGUUGAGUUUCCCUUGUGUUGUUGGAACGCUUGCAAUUUGACUGGUGCUCCAGAGCCUCGAGAAACAUAAGGAAACUCACCACCCACCCGUGUGAGAGCAUGACGCUUGGAUUGAGAAAAGCUAAGGACUUGUCAGAGAGCCACUGGGUCAGUCUUCAAGUAUUCAGCUGAUCCCAUUUGAUCCUGCACCUCCAGCUGAGGAUGGGUGUGGCAGAUACCAGACAUUGUGGACCAGGAUGUAAGAACCCCUUUAGUCCCUGUGAAGUCAUCUCUAAUCCAGGGAGAUGUUGCAAUGUCUGUGGGCAUUUUGGAAUUCCGUUAAGGAGAAGCUGCGGCGAGCCAUCUCGUUUGUGUUUAGUGGGUAUGAUAAUAUAGGUUCCACGCAUAGUUAUGUUAUUGCCAGCUGCCCCAGUAUAGGAAUGGCUGCCAGGAAUAUUUUUGCCACCUGCUGUGCCAUCGCCAGCCUCCAGAGUUGUAGGCCUGGAAGUCCUAUCAUGAUAUGAAGAUGUGCUGUUUUGCCUGGUACUGGGUGUGUGUAGUUAGUAGAGGAGAAACAAGUUUUGAAAUGGACAGUUAGAAGCUAGUCUAUGGAAAAAUCUUUUAAAUCUUUCAGCUCACAUAUUCACAUAUGAGAGAAACUUGGCAGAAGUUUUCCCAAGUUUUCCAACAAUACUAAAAAUGUACACGGCAUUGCUAAUUACAAGUAUGAAGCUUGAAGAAACUUCUAUAAAUUAUUAAUAAAUGCUCACCAACUAUGUAGAGGAAAGAUUAAAUUGUCUUCCUGUUCUCUCUAUAGAAACUUACAACUGCCAUAUGAAGAGGUGAUUUUGCAUUUAAUAAUGUAUGAAAAGAGAAGCAAUGCAGAGAUUUGUCAAGAAAUUAAUAAUAGUAUUAGUUUACUUUUUAAAAUCUG